GGCAGAGACCAGACCAUCGACGUUAGGCAUGCAGUCGCGUGUAGUGGCAAGCCGCAAGGUUGCUCUCAGAUGCUCAUCAGUCAGUCUUGAUCGUAAUGCUGUUUUGUUGAUCUUCAUUCUGGAUAAAAACUGUUCGCAAACGUACAUACUCCCAAACAUCGCUAGAAUUCUAGCAGCUGCGCAGAAUACGUUUGGAAGCUUCACUCUGGGAAGAAACUGGUAGAAAAUCUGGAACGCCAACAUCAGCGUAUUUUUGCUUCAGAACAGUGUCACACUGCAGGUCCAGUAGAUCCAUCUGGACUUCCUCUGGAACGUUUUUCACGUCAACUGCGAUACAGCAACUCUCCGUAUUCCGUUUCUAAAUCAGCUAGACAUGACACAAACUGUCUGUGGUUGAGACCCCGUGCACGUAUGAAGUUCACCGUCUUUACGACAACAUCCAUCACGUUCUUCAUUUGUAGACUUUUGCCACAGAGUGCUUCUUGGUGCUGAAUGCAAUGUAUGGCUGCAAAAGGUCCCGCCAAGCUGAGCUGAUUCCGUUUCUCUACAAUUAAUCCAACAACACCAACCUUCUCUGAAAACAUUGCUGGUGCACCGUCCGUAGCCACUGAAACAAGUUUUUCUCACGGUAGCCCACAGCUGUCAAUACAAGCUUCCAAAUCUUGAAACACGUCUCGCCCAGUCGUCUUUCCUUUCAUAGGUAGUAAGUCCAAUAGCUCUUCAACAAUGUUCAAGUUUUCGUCGACCCCACGAAUAAAUACAGCACAGUAUGCGGUGUCUGUUACACCAGUAGACUCGUCCAGUGCAAUGGAAUAUGCUACAAAGUCUUUUGCAGCGGCAAUCAGUUGCUGUUGAACAUCUGUCGCUGACUCGCUAGCGGCCAGCGGUUAGAAUCAGGCCACCGUUCACCCAGUUUCUUCUGAAAGCCUAAGCGGUCGGUGGGCGACAGUGACACCUCAUUUACUGAUUUGUGGAGUUGUAAAUCAUUUCACGGCUGAUAUGUGGUCAUUGUAAAUUUUAUCUAUUUUUUUUUAAAUUUGCGUAAGUGUCCGCGGGCCACGUGUUUGAGACCCCUGCUUUAAGGAAACAGUUUGUGAAACACUGUUCUAGUGACACACGUUUAGUUGCUCAUGCUAUAGCGCCGACUUUUAUCUAGGUUUGCUCUCAGUGGACAGUGACUUGAAAUACCCUCCCGUCUAAAAAAUUAGUAUAUGAAAAAGAAAAUAUUAAAAAAUACUUUUAGAAAAAAACUGUACAAACUUUUUACCAGACAGACAGAGAGAGUUGAUAUACGCUUAGUAAAAAAAAAUGUGUGGCCGCCUGUUCGAGUGAUAUGCGUUUUAAUGCUAGUCGUCAAUGACGUCAUCCCCUGACGUCACGCAUGAGGUUUGGUCUGGAAUGAAUUAUCUUCAUUUCAAAAUAAGUGUACGAAACUUGAAAAAACAAAACUUUAAAUUGGGAGAUCACUUACACAAUCAACCUGUCUUUACACAGCUUAGAUCAACUCACUCUGUCUGGUCUAAAGUUUUAACACGUUAUUUCUCCCAUACCCAUUCUUGGAUCCUGCUUAAAUUUUGCACAAUUAUUCCUCGGUGAAGUAAAUACAUGAAUCGAUAACAAAAAAAAUUAACCAAUUAAUCAAUUUUUAAGUACUGGUAAUUAAAUAUUUUGUUUAAUGCCAACAAAGGAAAUUAAUCAUUUAACAGUCACAGAUAUGCUAAAUAUGUAAUGUAGGGUUUCGUCCCCAUAGAUAAUUGUACACGUUAUUUCUCCCACAUCUAUUUUCGGAUCAAGUUGAAACUUUAAACAUUAAUUUUUUUUGUACCUAAAAAAAACAUGAAUCAAUUAAAAGUUAACCAAUUUGCCAAUGGACCUCAUUCACCAAUUGUAAACAAACAACAUUUAGUCACGUGAUUUUAUUGUUAAAACAACGGAAAAAACUGUCACGUGGCAACCAACAUGAAUUAAACACGAGAUCGUUAAUUAUAUAGAAGAGAUAGAAAACCACGUGGCUAAAUGUUGUUUGUUUACGAUUCGUGAAUGAGGUCCAUUAUAUAUUGGUUAUCAAUUAUUUUGAUAUGGAAAAAUUAAAAUAGCUUCUACAAUAUUGAAAUUUAUUGUUGCGAAGAUGGAGUUCUUCCUCCUAUAAAAGUUUUUUUUUUUAAAGUAUUUCUAUAUUUUGCCUUUUUCUUGUUCCUAUUCGUGUCCAGAUUGUGUAUCCAGUACUUCUGAAAGACCUUUUUGUUCCAGGUUAUUUGCAUUGCUGGAUAGGAGUAAGAUCAUUCAAAAAUCUAUUCAGAAAAGCAACAAGUACACUACAAACUUAAAUUCCUGUUUUUUUUUUUUUUUUUAAAUUAGAUUUUAGAUCUAUAUCUAGACUUAGCUAUCACAAUGGCUUGUUCAAUUAAAUGAAUCAUCUGAACAUGUUAAGAGGUGGGGAAGUUAACAACGUACACACAUUCUACAUUCGUAAAAUGUUUUAUAUGUUUCGUAUGUUCCUUCAGGAGUUGAAGAUAAUUAAUUGCUAGUCCAAACCUCCCGCAGGACGACGGGGGAUGGGAGCGGGCAGGGUUUGAAUCCGGGACCCUCGAUGAAUCUGAACGACAGUCCAGCGUGCAAACCGCACGACCAGGCAGCCAUCCUCGACCAGGCAGCCAUUCAAACAAUGAAUGACAAUUGAUCUAUAUUUGUUUUGAUAGUAUUCCUUCUUAUUUAGAUCGAUCUAAAAUUACUUAAUUCGAGAUCAUCUAAAAUUUAGAGCAUUUAAAGUUUAAAAAAGAAAAAGCGAAGACCAGAAAGUGAGGACUUAAAAUUAUAAAUGAUGGCUCCCCAUGUCUUAGAAGACAAUGGAUGCUCCCAUUAGAUCUAUAAAAAAAGAUGACUUCCGCAACACGUUUUUAUUAUUGACGUCUGAAACUAACAUGACUAGCUAGCUCUAUUGACUAUUAGACUUUAAUUUACAGUCUGGUAUAUAGACGCUAGAUAUUUCAUCACGGUAAUCUAGAUCUUUAUAGUUACUAGAUCUAGAAUCUACUCUAGUAUUUUCUGAAUUAUUCAUAAAUUUCAUACGAUGGCGUCGAUGGCGAUGAAGACCACAGCCCAGGUACACUCACUCAGCCGCGAGUGGUACAGUAUUCAAGGAAUUUUAGCCACAUACAUGGAAAGAGUUAACUGUGGUGGAGACUACAGUUUGGGUCUAACUAAGAUCAAGAAGCAUGUGAUUGUCUGUUCUACAACAUUAUCUCUUGACAGCCUGAUAGACUUCCUGAAUGAGUUUUAUGGUAAUCCUAACUUAGAGAGAAGAGAAGGGUUUCUCCUAAUUGCAGUUUUGUUUCACCGAAUGUGUUCCAUCGAACUUCACUCAUUCCCAGGAUCUGUAGUUUGUAGUUGGCCAUUUCCUUUGCAAUUUGUGCACAUCUACCUGGUUCUAGUAAAGUACGGACAUUCCAUGUUCCCAAGUUAAAUGCUGCCUUCUGAAUAAGGAAGUGUUUCUUUUUCAUUGGUUUAAGUAGAGUGGUCGGCCUCACAGGAUUCGUUCGACUUUCCCUGCAUAGCUUCAUAAGUCUCCUUUGUGGAGCUCUACUUUCGCCUCUGACAAUGUUUAGUGUUUGUGUUUUUGUUCUGGUUUCUAUAACACUAUUUUUUCAAUGGACAGGUUGUUAGCCUAUCAAACAAUACCUGUGUCCCGGGAAGGGGGAUGCACCUUUUGUCUGGCCUCUUUCCUAGCAGACCUGUCUGGCUUGGUAGUACCUGCCAGGAGUGAUGAGCUCCCGCCGGUAUAGCUCUGAGGGUCAUUGAGGCACUCAAGCUGUCACACCACGGCAAGGUAUGUGCAUCAGGUGUGCAUCUAGCGCGUCAGAUAUUUACACAGUUAAAACCAACCUGGAAAUCUCCUCACAUCUCAAACAAGACUAAACUAAGAAUCUUUAACUCUAAUGUCAAGGCUGUCCUACUGUAUGGUUCUGAAACAUGGAGAACAACUGAAGCCACAACAAAAAAAAAAUACAGACCUUCAUCAACAGAUGCCUGAGAAAUAUCCUAAAAAAUACACUGGUAUGACAAAUUAGAAAACACCAAACUGUGGGAGAUGAGUGGACAGAAAAAUAUAGAAGUGCCGAUCUUAGAGAGGAAGUGGAGAUGGAUUGGUCACACCCUUAGAAAAGAUACCAGCAACAGAGCUAGGCAGGCCUUAGAGUGGAACCCCCAGGGAGCAAGACUCAGAGGAUAACCAAAAAGAACAUGGCGACGCAGUGUACUUGAAGAAGCAGAGAAGACCGGUAAGAGCUGGGAAACCAUUAAAAAACUAGCAAGAGACUGUGGAGAGUGGCAUGUUUUUGUCGAGGCCCUAUGUUCCAUGAGGAACUCAAAGGAGUGAUGAUGAUGAUGGAAACUGAGCAUCACUAGUCUUUGGCAAACUCACAACAAACAUUUUUCAAAGACAUGAAACAGCUGGGACUAAGGGUUAGAUUAUGUCAGGGUAGACAAAAUCAUAGGCAAAUACAAUAAGUUCUUAGCAACUUGAAAUAUGGUGUCUAAAUGUAGCCUUCUUUAUUUCAUUGUUGUAAUGACCAAAUGAUGACAGACAAUUAAUGCGUGUAUAUUCCGCAUUCCACAUUUUUCAUUCCAACAAGGACAUCUGUAC